CUCGUCGUCAAUCCCCAUGCAAAUGAGAAAUUCGGAGGAAUCUUCAAAGCAUUACACCGACUUGUCGGCUGCCCUCGAGGGCCUGGCGUGAACUCGCGUCUGUAUCAGGCAUCAGAAAAUCAAGGACCUCUUCGUGAGGUAUCCUUUGGAAGUCUGUACGAAGAUUGUGGGUUGUGCCAUCUUAGUGCAAUGCGCGGCGUGCCCAGCAAUGGGCAUAAUUCGAUUCCGAUUAUUCUGAUGGGAG
rnacentral:RNase_P_RNA from 2 species